rnacentral:rRNA from 1 species
GAUGAACGCUAGCGGCAGGCCUAAUACAUGCAAGUCGAACGGUAAAUAUUUUAGCAAUAGAAUAUGCGAGUGACGUACGGGUGCGUAACACGUAUGCAACCUACCCUUUACAGGAGGAUAGCUCGGGGAAACUCGAAUUAAGCCUUCAUAGUAUAAUUGGAUGGCAUCAUUUGAUUAUUAAAACUGAGGUGGUAAAGGAUGGGCAUGCGUCUGAUUAGUUAGUUGGCGGGGUAACGGCCCACCAAGACGAUGAUCAGUAGGGGAACUGAGAGGUUGAUCCCCCACACUGGCACUGAGAUACGGGCCAGACUCCUACGGGAGGCAGCAGUAGGGAAUAUUGGUCAAUGGAUGGAAGUCUGAACCAGCCAUGCCGCGUGCAGGAAGACGGCCUUCUGGGUUGUAAACUGCUUUUGCCAGGGGCUAAAAAGCUCAUGCGUGAGAAAUUGAAAGUACCUGGUGAAUAAGCCACGGCUAACUACGUGC